AUUGAACGCUGGCGGCAGGCCUAACACAUGCAAGUCGAGCGAGCGGCGGACGGGUGAGUAAUGUCUGGGAAACUGCCUGAUGGCGGGGGAUAACUACUGGAAACGGUAGCUAAUACCGCAUACCAUCAUAUGUGCCCAGAUGGGAUUAGCUAGUAGGUGGGGUAACGGCUCACCUAGGCGACGAUCCCUAGCUGGUCUGAGAGUAUGACCAGCCAAACGGGGAAUGAGAAACGGUCCAGGUGGCUAAGGGAGGCAGCAGUGGGGAAUAUUGAAAAAUGGGGGGAACCCUGAUCCAGCCAUGCAGCGUGUGUGAAGAAGGCCUUAUGGUUGUAAAGCAAUUUAAGCGAGGAGGCGUUACUCGAAGAAUAAGCACCGACUAGCUCGGUGCCAGCAGCCGCGGUAAUUC
rnacentral:rRNA from 1 species